rnacentral:rRNA from 1 species
UAGGAAGGGGGCUAGCGUUGUUCGGAAUUACUGGGCGUAAAGCGCACGUAGGCGGAUUGGCAAGUCAGGGGUGAAAUCCCGGAGCUCAACUUCGGAACUGCCUUUGAUACUGCCUGUCUAGAGUCCGGAAGAGGUGGGUGGAAUUCCUAGUGUAGAGGUGAAAUUCGCAGAUAUUAGGAAGAACACCGGUGGCGAAGGCGGCCCACUGGUCCGGUACUGACGCUGAGGUGCGACAGCGUGGGGAGCGAACAGG